rnacentral:rRNA from 1 species
GACGAACCGUACGAACGUUAUUCGGAAUCACUGGGCUUAAAGGGUGCGUAGGCGGCGCAGAAAGUUGGGUGUGAAAUCCCUCGGCUCAACCGAGGAACUGCGCCCAAAACUGCUGUGCUUGAGGGAGAUAGAGGUGAGCGGAACUUAGGGUGGAGCGGUGAAAUGCGUUGAUAUCCUAAGGAACACCGGUGGCGAAAGCGGCUCACUGGAUCUCUUCUGACGCUGAGGCACGAAAGCUAGGGUAGCGAACGGG